rnacentral:rRNA from 1 species
GGAUCGACUAUGUCGAAUAAAAUUCUAGGUAGAAUUAUGAUAAUGACAUUGUCUGCCUAUGUGUCUUGACCAAAUUACGUGCCAGCAGUCGCGGUAAUACGUAGAAGACUAGUGUUAUUCAUGUUUAAUCGGUUUAAAGGGUACCUAGACGGUAAAUCAAGCCUAAAAUUAAAUGAAGGGACUAAUUUACUAGAGUUACUUAUGAGGGGGUAUUAAAGUACUGCUGGUGUAGAGAUGAAAUUCUGUCAUACCUCUUUUCAAUAGAAAAACAAUGGCACAGGUAUAGGCGAAAGCAUCCCCUUAUGUGAUAACUGACGUUGAGGGACGAAGGCUUUGUGUAGCGAACAGGAUUAGAUACCCCAGUAGUCAAAGCAGAAAAUGAUGAAUGUCAUAGAUUAGAUAAAUAAGUUUAUUCUAUAAAUGAAAGUGUAAGCAUUCCACCUCAAGAGUAAUUUGGCAACAUUGGAACUGAAAUCAUUAGACCGUUUCUGAAACCAGUAGUGAAGUAUGUUGUUUAAUUUGAUGAUCCGCAAAAAACCUUACCACAAUUUGAAUAUUUAUAUUUUUUUAUUGUUUUCUUUUUAAUUUUCUUCUGAUUUGAUUUUUCUAAAGAAAAAAAGAAAAAGAGGCGAUAUGAUAUAUUUACAAGCGUUGCACGGCUGUCUUCAGUUAAUGUCGCGAGACUUUGGUUAGUUCCAUUAAAUUAACGUAAACCCUUACUUUAUUUUUAUAUAGAGUAGUUCCCCGCUAUAUUGGAUAUGA